rnacentral:lncRNA from 1 species
GCCUGUUUUAUUUUUUCUUAAUUUUAUUGACUCAUUUAUAUCUCAGCCCUUUUUAUUACAAAUUAUUUAUUGUUUAGUCACUGCCUUAGAGCCUGUUUUAUUUUUUCUUAAUUUUAUUAAAGGAUGAUAUUGAUGAUGAAAUGUCUUACGAUGAUCAUUUAGAGGUUUAUUUUGAACAACUGGCAAUUCCAGGAAUGAUGGAAUAAAGCAUACGAAGUAGAAGGACUGGAACCUCCAGAAAAAGUACUUUAAGUUACCUACAGGUGAUCCUAGUCAGGUAUGAAUUGAUAAGAAAUGCCUGCACCUUCCCUCCUUCCUAUCUUUCCCUUGCCUACAGAAAAUUAAAAGGCAAAACAAUAGACAUCUGCAUAUUCUUCAUUCAGAUCAACCAGUGGCUAGCAUUUGCCACCUUUUGCAGUUUCUUUCUCUUUCCAUAAGUACUUUCUUCUCUGAAUCAUUUGAAAGCAAAUGAAAACAGUAGCCUAAAGUGUCAGUUUCAACCAGAAAAUAACAGCUCUGAUUUCUCAUGGCUCAUACUCGUCUGAAACGACUCAGGUAGAGGCUGAGGAAGGCCGUGUUGUUUGUCUACCUGGGACUACACCUACUGAAAGAAGUUCUCAAGUUCUGAUUGAGUUCUAAAAUUUUUUGAAGAUUGGAAUUCUUCAUAUGUAAAAAGAGAAGAGAAAGACAUUCUUGAUUUUGGUGACUAGAGUUGUAGAUGCUGGAAGCUUUGCCACUAACAUUGAUGAACCAGAUGCAUGUCACCAGCCCAUCACGGUGAUUCUUAAUGCCGGCACCAUGGGCCCGGCACUGCCACGUUUUCCAAGGAACCUGCCGGAGCUCCUGCGGAAGCUGCUCCUCAGGCGAUGGAGUCCCUUCGCUGGUAGGCCCUUCUUCAGUCACCACAGGAUGCCUGCCAUUCAUGAACAAGAAGGAGAGGACGGGCUUUGAAUAAAAAACAGGUGGAGUCUCACUCUGUUGCCUGGGCUGGAGUGCAAUGGUGUGAUCACUGCUCACUGCAACCUCCGCCUCCUGGGUUCAAGCAGUUCUCCUGCCUCAGCCUCCCAAGUAGCUGCAAUUACAGGUGCAUGCCACCACUCCCAGCAAAUUUUUAUAUUUUUAGUGGAGACAGGGUUUCACCAUGUUGACCAGGCUGGUCUCAAACUCCUGACCUCAGGUGAUCUGCCCACCUUGGCCUCCCAAAGUUCUGGGAUUAAAGGGAAAAGAACUGAAGAACAGUUUGUUGACUGAGGAGCUGAAGUAUUAAGUACAGAGACACAUAUAUAUUUAAAGACCCUGUGGAAAAAAGUUAAUGAACAAAAAAGAAUUGGAAGAAGGUGAGAGAUUACCCGAAACAUCCAAAGGAUAAAAUGACUACUGGGCAUUUGGCUAAGUAGGUAAAAUUAAGUGGAAACAGGAGGAACUGUACAGAGCAUAAAACUUGUAUGAUUAAAAAGUUUAGGGCCGGGCACGAUGGCUCAAAUCUAUAAUCCCAGUCCUUUGAAUAUUAAUC